rnacentral:rRNA from 1 species
GACGAACGCUGGCGGCGUGCUUAACACAUGCAAGUCGAGCGGUAAGGCCCUUUCGGGGGUACACGAGCGGCGAACGGGUGAGUAACACGUGGGUGACCUGCCUUUAGCUCUGGGAUAAGCCUGGGAGACUGGGUCUAAUACCGGAUAUGACCCUAUGGCGCAUGUUGUGGGGUGGAAAGCCUUGUGCGGCUAGGGAUGGGCCCGCGGCCUAUCAGCUUGUUGGUGGGGUGAUGGCCUACCAAGGCGACGACGGGUAGCCGGCCUGAGAGGGCGACCGGCCACACUGGGACUGAGACACGGCCCAGACUCCUACGGGAGGCAGCAGUGGGGAAUCUUGCGCAAUGGGCGAAAGCCUGACGCAGCGACGCCGCGUGAGGGAUGACGGCCU